rnacentral:lncRNA from 1 species
CUACUUCUCUGUCACCAUUUGUUAAUUUCAAUGAAGCUAGCACUUUGGUAGAUCUGCAGGAGGAUGAGGCAAACUCUCUUGCACCUUCUUGCCAUUUUUCACUAUAAACAUUGUGCUCAUUCCCCAUGUUUGAUGGAUGUCAAAAUGACAAUGCAAUAACCAGAGCCCUAUUCAUUAUGAAAGGAAGAUUUUAUCAGCAAAUGUCAUAUGUGUUGUGAUGUUUAGGAGUUUUGUGAAGAAGAAUACCUGGAUUGUUGGCAACAAACCGAAUUGCCGCCCAACCUCCUACUGGGACUCCAAUAGUGUUCAAGUAAGGAGGAUCCUCCAGGUUAAAUUUUGCUGUUUGUUGAUCAUAGUUUCCUGUGCCAUAGCCAAUGACAUAAAAGCUGUGUCCAUGAAGAUGAAUUGGAUGAUUUUCUGUUGUGAGUGUGCCAGUAUUCUGGAAGAUGAUUUGUAUCCUGCUCCCAUACUCGAAAACUAUUGCUCUGGUCCCAUUUGCAGCCUGCGUGUCAUUGGCUAUGUCAUUGGGUGCCCCAUUGACAAAGUCAUAGGCUUUUUCCGGCGUGGUUGGGAAAUCUAAAGUGAAGUAACCUUCCAGUUGCUUGUAAUAUGCUUCCAAAAUCGAGACUUUAGGUUCGAUGAAGCUUAUGUUGUUCAUUGAAGCUGCUAGUCUUCCUUUUCUGGGCCCUUGGCACUUGUUGUUUGGAUUUUCAGAGUUGCAUUUGUUUACAUUUAGCCCGAUUGUGAUAAAGAGAUGAGCGUCAAUGUUUCUUGGAACAUCAACUGCAUUUAGACUUCUGAGCCCAUCCAUGACAGUCUUAACAGCAAUAUUAUCAUUGAAAAUAGACUCGUACGGACCCAUGGCCAUGGAGUAUCUCCCAACGGUUUGAUCAGCUGUGACAAGAAUGUUCAUUGUCUGUCCAGGUACAAGCAUCACACGCUCUGUUGUAUAAGGCUUGGUGUAUUCGCCAUCUACUUCCACUAUGGUCAACCUGUGAUUAGCUAUGGUGAAGAAGGUCUCCAUGUUAAUACCAGCAUUUAUCAGUCUUAGCAGAUAUCGCCGGGCCAGGGAAUUUCUUGUUGACUGUUACAAUCUCGUUUGUUUGGCAUAGCCUGAAUCUAGUUGCAGCGCCAAUCCUGCCAAUAUUCAUUACUUGAAGAGUGAACAAGAGAAAGCUAAGCCGGAACAAGGACGGGACAGCUGAACUGGUCAUCUUGAAUGGAAAGAGACAAGGAGAUUUGAGGUUGAAAGAUACUGCUUAAUGCAACUGGUUUUUAUAGCGUCUGAAGGCGAAAAAUAGGAAAUAAAAUAAAUAGAGUUGAGGAAAAGUUUCAUGAUUUGGAGAGUUGGGAACAGAGACAUUAGUGAUUAUAAGGUGUUGGGAAAGCGUGACUUGUUUCUUGACCCCAGCGUGAGAUUGAAGGCAACACACGAGUUACUAUAAAAGGAGAAAGAUACUCUUAGUUAGUGUCUGCUCUUUGAUUUUGAAUCAGUAAAAGCUUUAUACAUUAUGAUGCAGGAUUCUCUACCAAACCGCUGACUGAUCUGGACCAACCCGGUGACCUAAUGACUAUUUCUUUUGACAGGUCGUUAAUCAUCAACUUUAGGAUCAGCCGGGAUUAGUGAGGUGCAUGAUUUAGCAUGAUUAGAGAGUGUUUAGUAGGGUCGUGUUGGGGUUUUUUAGAGUGUUGAAAGAGAAAGAAGAAGAAAGAGUAAGAAGGGAUCAAGCUUCUUGGUCGGAAGUUUGGAUGGUCUUAAUUCUUUAUUGGUCGUGUCAUCAUCAAAAGUUCGUGCACGCCUUCAUUUGCCAAAGAGAACUCUUAUUUAUUUAUUUUUUUUUUUUCUUCUAAAUUUUGUUUAAUUUCUGAAUUUUUUUUUCCUUAUAUUGUAAGACCACUGAUACUGAUAUUUACGUAAAUUUCUUAUUUGAUUUUUAAUUACGUAAAUUUCU